UACGUAGGGUGCAAGCGUUGUCCGGAAUUAUUGGGCGUAAAGAGCUCGUAGGCGGUCUGUUGCGUCGGCUGUGAAAACCCGCGGCUCAACUGCGGGCCUGCAGCCGAUACGGGCAGGCUAGAGUUCGGUAGGGGAGACUGGAAUUCCUGGUGUAGCGGUGAAAUGCGCAGAUAUCAGGAGGAACACCAGUGGCGAAGGCGGUGCUCUGGGCCGGAACUGACGCUGAGGAGCGAAAGCGUGGGGAGCAAACAGG
rnacentral:rRNA from 1 species